rnacentral:tRNA from 1 species
GGAUAUAGCUCAGUUGGUAGAGUGCUCGCCUUGCAUGUGCAAGGCCCUGGGUUUGAUCCCCAGUACCA